AUGUGCAAAGUGGUGCAGAUGGAACUCUCACUCAUGUAUGACAUCCUCUACACCAAGGCAGCCGUGGUCCACACCUGGGGUGGCUACGCCAUCCGUAUGAUCGCACCGCCCCUUACCGCCAUCGCGCUCCUCCUGUUUGGCCUCCACCACAAAGAGGGCAUGUCGACAGAAAAUGAAGCUAUCAGUUAUGUGUUGCUGAAUUUGACCCUCCUCCUCGACGUGAGAUGGCUGUUCAGAGCACUAGCAUCAGCAUGGACACGUUCAUUCUUCAAACGUAGGCCAAACAUUUGGUUGAAGCAUGAAUUCCUGGAGAGAUGGGCGAAGCUCCGUCGGUUUGUCGUGUCACUGCUUCUUUCCCGGGUUUCCUUGUGCUUGUGGACGUGUGAAUCUGCCGAGGAGCCCAAAAGCUACAGGAGGUGGGCGGGUUCCUUGGGGCAGCGUAACUUCUUGAACAGCUGCACUCGGGGACCAUUUAACACCCUAUACAGAAACUUGUUGGACAACUGCACUCGGGGAGGGGGCACCCUAUACAGCAGCUCUUCUGUUCUCUGA
rnacentral:rRNA from 1 species